UUCUCUCUGCCCCACCAACACCUCUGCUCUGCCUGCAAAGCACACCUUUUACCUCAGGCCACGUCUGAUCAGGAUGCCCUACACCUGCUUUCAUUUACCUUGUUCUCCUCCCUGACGGACUCUAGAUCUGAAGUGGUUUGAAGGGGAUAUCAGGUGCUCACCCCCCGAAUGACAAGCUGUGUGCCCAGACUCUCAAAGGACGGACAAUUGUCACCUUCUUCAUCUACUUGUAGCACAUUUCCUGCCUGGGGUCAAAGAACUUGAGAAAGGGGAAAUCAGAAUCCAGCUAUGGGCCAGAUGCCGUGAGAUAAUAAUAACAAGACCUUAUGGAGAGGCACCCCACAACACCAGAGUCAGGUUUUUUUCAUAAAUAUUUGCGUACCUUGUCUUUCAUGAUGCACUUCGUACUGUUGCAGGCUGACUAAUAGCUGACGACAUUAACUGACCUCAGCUCUUGCAGCAGUUACCAUCUGGAACAAGACUCAGGGAGGGAAGAAGGAAGAAAAGAAAGGUCAGAAAAUAACAAGCUGAGCUUGUACUACACAUGUGUUGCAUCAAAAAAAAAAAAAAUUACAAAAGAAGAGUGCCCCACACAGCAUAGUACUGAUUACUGAGAAGCACAACACAGAUCUGGACCCUCCAAAAGCUGUAAUUGCAAAGACAGGUUAUGUCUGAUUUAAAUAGCAUGCUACUGUUCUGGAUGGCCUUCAAGCAGCAGAGGAAGCAGGAGUACAUAAAGGAUCAUGACAGGCAACAAAGUGGUGUGUGACACCCGAGGGGACCACCAUAAAGAGCCAGUAGUGGCUUAGGAAAGGGAUA